rnacentral:misc_RNA from 1 species
AUGUAGGAGCUGCCGCAGGCUGCGAUCUUUUGAUCUUCGGCGUCACUGAUGACGCCAAAAGAUCGCAGUCUGCGGCAGCUCCUACAG